UUUUUUCUUCUCUUGUACACCAUAAUGAAUUUAAAGCCAAAGCAAAGAUAAAUCAUUGCACCUGUUCUUGUUUGUGAUGGUGAGUAACGACAGUGAGGUUGAGUAGCAACAACGAUGAUGAGUAGCAAUGAUUUCUAUUCGUGAGUACUGAGUUCUUCGAUUUCUGUUCUAGUGGUGACGACAAAGGUGAGUAGCAGCAAGGGGCGAUGGUGAUGCGGCAAGGGGUGAUGGUGAUGCGGCGAGGGGCAAUAGUGAUGCGGCGAGGGGUGAUGGCUGGGUGUUGAUGCUGCGGUUUCUAUACAGUUAGGAUCGGAUUAGGAAUGGGUGUUGUUGUUUGUUGUUAACUUGGGACAACCACUAGGUUAUUUUGUGAUUUAGGUUUGGCCAGCGAUUUAG
rnacentral:lncRNA from 1 species